UACGGGGGGAGCAAGCGUUGUCCGGAUUUACUGGGCGUAAAGAGCGCGCAGGCGGUCGUUCAAGUCGAGUGUGAAAGCCCCCGGCUCAACUGGGGAGGGUCAUUCGAUACUGAUCGACUCGAAGGCAGGAGAGGGAAGUGGAAUUCCCGGUGUAGUGGUGAAAUGCGUAGAUAUCGGGAGGAACACCAGUGGCGAAGGCGACUUCCUGGCCUGUUCUUGACGCUGAGGCGCGAAAGCUAGGGGAGCAAACGGG
rnacentral:rRNA from 1 species